AAAGGACCCUGUGCAGCAGGCCACUAUUUGAAUGUGUGUUGCUCCUUGUGGCAGGUAUACUGUUCCAAUGCCCUGGGAUCUCUGUAGUGGUCGGUACUGUAUUGAUUAUAAAUGGUGAAGUCCUAGUAUCUUGCUAGAGUGAGCUGGCCAGGAUGGUGGAGCUCUACCACCAUUUCACAGGUUAUAGACAGGGGCCACCAGGUUUCAGGAAAGCAGCAAUGACCCCUCAGUAAUAGUUGGAAAGUGUGAUAUGACACUGAGCUUCACUGUGUUGGUGAAGAAGAGGUGAGGAAAAUAAAAGCUGCAGUUUGCCUCCACCUCUGAAGAAGCACAAUACACCUUUCUGGGUUACCAAUGGGAUACUUCCCAACAGCUUUGUCAUCACAUACAAUAUUCUCAAACAAGAUCUUAAUGGCAUCUACUUUCUCCAGGAACACAGCCCCUGACCUGUGUGUGUUUGCGUAGAGAAGGCAUGCUAUGUACCCCCUAGGAUAUCAAGAUUCCUGUAGCAGAUUGAGCUCUGGCAGUUGAUCUCAGUGGCUUGAUAGAGUGUCAUUAUAAAAACGCACCUGGAAGAUUCUGUGGAAAAGACAACCUCAGAAGACCAAGGAAUCUGCCCACCACUCAAGCCUGGGAAAGCUGGCAGAGGAUGCACGUGUUUUACUCACCUGAGUGUUUACAAUGCUCGUGAGGUGCCUCCCUGAUAGUACAGAGGAAUGAAGAAGGAAUAAACAGACCUUCUGGAUAAUUGCAUCAGCCUUCCCCACUAUUCCAAUGCCAUGCUAACAUUUCAAGUAAUGUCCCUUUUGUCUUGCUGAGAAAAAAUCAUUUCAUGAUUUAUUACACUGGAUUAAAGGCUAUGCACACUCUGGAGUUGGAACAUGACUGAAGGGCAAGCAAGCAUAAAGGAUAUCAGAAACAGUUGAUGUGUUUAAAUUUUUCUGAAUUUCUCAAGUAAACUUUUUAGAAAGUAGUCUGAAGAUAAAAUGGUUAUAUAAGUUACUUAAACUGUAGAUGAUGGCACCUUUAUCCCUAUAUAAUAAAAUUAAGAUUUGUAGGUUAAACCUUGGAUAUUCCCAUCUGAGCAUCUGUACCAAACAGAAAAGACCUGUGUGAGUUCCUGAGAACCAGUGCUCAUUCCAGAAGAGACAGGUUUCUCUCCAGGAAGAAAUGUCUGAAAUUCAGUGAAUUAAAAUCCUCAUUGAGUCU
rnacentral:lncRNA from 1 species